AUGAACGCUGGCGGCGUGCCUCAUACCUGCAAGUCGAGCGCACAGACGAGGAGCUUGCUCCUCUGACGUUAGCGGCGGACGGGUGAGUAACACGUGGAUAACCUACCUAUAAGACUGGGAUAACUUCGGGAAACCGGAGCUAAUGCCGGAUAAUAUAUUGAACCGCAUGGUUCAAUAGCGAAAGACGGUUUUGCUGUCACUUAUAGAUGGAUCCGCGCCGCAUUAGCUAGUUGGUAAGGUAACGGCUUACCAAGGCAACGAUGCGUAGCCGACCUGAGAGGGUGAUCGGCCACACUGGAACUGAGACACGGUCCAGACUCCUACGGGAGGCAGCAGUAGGGAAUCUUCCGCAAUGGGCGAAAGCUUGACGGAGCAACGCCGCGUGAGUGAUGAAGGUCUUCGGAUCGUAAAACUCUGUUAUUAGGGAAGAACAAAUGUGUAAGUAACUAUGCACGUCUUGACGGUACCUAAUCAGAAAGCCACGGCUAACUACGUG
rnacentral:rRNA from 1 species